rnacentral:rRNA from 1 species
UACGAAGGGUGCAAGCGUUACUCGGAAUUACUGGGCGUAAAGCGUGCGUAGGUGGUUGUUUAAGUCUGUUGUGAAAGCCCUGGGCUCAACCUGGGAAUUGCAGUGGAUACUGGGCGACUAGAGUGUGGUAGAGGGUAGUGGAAUUCCCGGUGUAGCAGUGAAAUGCGUAGAGAUCGGGUGGAACACCAGUGGCGAAGGCGGCAUCCUGGCCCUGACCUGACGCUGAGGCGCGAGAGCGUGGGGAGCAAACGGG